rnacentral:rRNA from 1 species
UGGGGAAUCUUGCGCAAUGGACGAAAGUCUGACGCAGCGACGCCGCGUGGGUGAUGAAGGCCUUCGGGUUGUAAAGCCCUGUGGGGAGGGACGAAUUAGUAGAAGCUAAUACCUUCUAUGAUGACGGUACCUCCUUAGCAAGCACCGGCUAACUCUGUGCCAGCAGCCGCGGUAAGACAGAGGGUGCAAACGUUGUUCGGAAUUACUGGGCGUAAAGCGUGUGUAGGCGGCUAUGUAAGUCGGAUGUGAAAGCCCUGGGCUCAACCCAGGAAGUGCACUCGAUACUGCGUAGCUUGAGUCUCGGAGAGGUUGGUGGAAUUCUCGGUGUAGAGGUGAAAUUCGUAGAUAUCGAGAGGAACACCGGUGGCGAAGGCGGCCAACUGGACGAAGACUGACGCUGAGACACGAAAGCGUGGGGAGCAAACAG